UGGGGAAUAUUGCACAAUGGGCGCAAGCCUGAUGCAGCCAUGCCGCGUGUGUGAAGAAGGCCUUCGGGUUGUAAAGCACUUUCAGCGGGGAGGAAGGCGUUAAGGUUAAUAACCUUGGCGAUUGACGUUACCCGCAGAAGAAGCACCGGCUAACUCCGUUCCAGCAGCCGCGGUAAUACGGAGGGUGCAAGCGUUAAUCGGAAUUACUGGGCGUAAAGCGCACGCAGGCGGUCUGUCAAGUCGGAUGUGAAAUCCACGGGCUGAACCUGGGAACUGCAUUGGAAACUGGCAGGCUAGAGUAUUGUAGAGGGGGGUAGAAUUCCAGGUGUAGCGGUGAAAUGCGUAGAGAUCUGGAGGAAUACCGGUGGCGAAGGCGGACCCCUGGACAAAGACUGACGCUCAGGUGCGAAAGAGUGGGGAGCAAACAGG
rnacentral:rRNA from 1 species